rnacentral:sRNA from 1 species
GCUCAGAAGCAUGUGGAGGAGAAUUCUGAGAUUGAAAA